rnacentral:rRNA from 1 species
CCUACGGGAGGCAGCAGUGGGGGAUAUUGGUCAAUGGGGGAAACCCUGAACCAGCAACGCCGCGUGAGGGAAGACGGCCUUCGGGUUGUAAAGCUAAGUGAUCAGGGAUGAAACAAUUGACAGUACCUGAAAAGCAAGCUCCGGCUAACUACGUGCCAGCAGCCGCGGUAAUACGUAGGGGGCAAGGGUUGUCCGGAUUUACUGGGUGUAAAGGGUGCGGAGGCGGGAACACAAGUCGGGCGUGAAAUACCGGGGCUCAACUCCGGGGCUGCGCUUGAAACUGUGGUUCUUGAGUGAUGUAGAGGCAGGCAGAAGUCCUGGUGUAGCGGUGGAAUGCGUAGAUAUUAGGAGGAACACCAGUGGCGAAGGCGGCCUGCUGGAC